GCAGCGGUAGCUCAACACCGAGAGCACGCGGCUCUUAACCGCGAGGGUGCCGAGUGAAAGCCCGGCCCGCUGCA
rnacentral:tRNA from 1 species